ensembl:lncRNA
CUGAUUUCUCACUCUUCGGAGAGUCCGCGGCUCCCGUACAGAGAAUCUGAGGAGCCAAACAGCGGCUGAAUUAGACCAUGAAAUUACAGAUAACAUUUAAAAAUAAUCUCAGCAUAAUGAUUACAGCGAGGCCACUGAGACAUUUCUUAAGGCUCUGAAAUUAUCCACACUAUUUAUUGACUUCUUCCACACUCAGCGAUAAGAAUAUGUAAUCAGUUUUUCUGGUAAUUUGUUGUUGUAUCAGGAGGAAGAGUCGAGGAGGGGCGAGUGUUUGUGACGCCGGACAGACGGAUUUUCAGAGCUGAUCUCCGGAGUCAUUCAUCAGCGUCAGGGCGACUUUACGGAGGAGAACGUGUUCAUUUGUUUCAGGCUGGAAGAGAGAGACAGUCUCACGUUCACUCUGCAUCUCCCUCUGCUGAGUGAAUCUGGCAGCUGCAUUAGAAACAGCCAAAGACAUUCAGAGCAUUUACACUCUCGCUCCUGCACGAUAUCAGCGUCUUCAGCGUCCUGAUUCAAUUACACUUUUCAAAUAUUACUUUAAGGAUAUUUGUAAAAAAGAAGGGAAAAAAACUUUCAAAUCAAUUAAAUAAUUAUCAGAUUUUUCUGUAUGGUUGCAUUUAGAAUGUAAUACUACUUAAUGAAUACAGUGUAACGCGCACACACACACACACACACACACACACACAUAUAUAUAUAU